AUGUACAAGCUACUGGGGACGCAGGGGAUGGCCAGCAGCAGAGGUGCCGCCCGGAAGAAGCCACGGCCUCUGCUGAUCCCGGGGGGCGUGACCCUUGUCCCAGGAGUAAAAGGAGGGCGCCUUCCGGGGUCCCGCACUGGGGGGCUGACGGAGGACCAGCACUGCAACCUGCUCAGGCCUGUACCACCAGCGACAUUCCAGAACUCUCUCCAAGUGCUUCUCCACACCCGCCCCACAGGUGCGGAGGUGUGUGCGCGCGUGUGAUCGGUGAGUGAACCAUUGGCAUCUUAGGAGUGAUCACUCCAAACACGGAGGCCUUGGGACUCGGGAACAUCUCGACGCCCCGGGCACACUGGAGCCUGGAGCCCAGCACCCCUUCCUGGGACCACAGCAAAUCAGCAGGGGGCCUCCCCCCUCCCUGGAGGAGACAGAGCUCCCUGAGCGAGGACGGCUAUCCCUCAAGGCAGAAUGAGUGCCAUCAAGUGUUAAAAAAACUCCCAGAGAAAUGACUUUCUGGAUCUUUCUUCCCUCCCCACUUAGUGGGAAACAGCCACUGCCAGGCCUGGCCUCCCCUCUGCACCCCACAACGGGGACACCCCUGAGGUGCUCUGGAGCAGAGGUGAACACCACACCCCCUACUGUGACGUGGGGCAGCUUCUGCGGGGUGGACAAGGGACCAGGUGCUCCCAGAUCUCUCUCCCCACCAGCUCCGGAGCUCUGGCAGUGACGGCGGGGACAGGGGUCCAGGCAAUUGCCAAGGGCACCAGGGUCAAAAUUACACAGUCCUGGGGGCACCUCCAUGGCCGUGGAGGCUCCUGAGUUUAGGGUGCGCCCCCUCACUCCGCCCCAGGAAGCGGGUGUUCUGCAGGCUGGCUGGCCUCAGACCCCUGCACCCUGGGUGCGAGCCCCUCAGACCCUCCGAGGCCGCGGCUCCAGGCUGGCUGACCUGAGCAGCUGCGGCCCGGCCCUGCGCUCCCCCCCACAUCUCCCGGCCCCGCGCCCCCAGUCUCCCCGAGGGAAGGCGGGGCUGCCGGCAACCA
rnacentral:lncRNA from 1 species